ensembl:lncRNA novel transcript
CUCGCUGGGCGCUGCUGCGGGUAGGGCGCGGGGCCGGGUACCUGGGAGGUGGUGCGCGUCGCCCGACCCGAGCUCACUGGGGCAGGCACGCGUGCCUUCCGUCAGUCCGAGUUGCAGAGGCCAGGUGCCCUCCCCCAGCCAGGCGCCUUCCCAGCUGUGGUCCUGGGGAAGGUGGGCUGCACAGGCCCUGGCGGUGCUACCACUGCGUGCCCCUGCCUCACAGCUGACACUCACUCUCUGCGGAGGAGGGUGCUAGGGCGAUCGUCGCAGCCAGCAAGGGACAGAGUAGGCAGGGCUGUGCCUGGAAUGCUCGGGGGACCCUCCCCUUUCUCCCAGCCUGAGCACCCUUCCGCCUUUGCACAACCCAGCUCCUGCCUGCCCUUGGGACUGGACUUCAAGCUGUGGGGGAAGAGGGGGACUCAGGACUCAGGAGGGAAGGGCUAACUGCCCAAUGCCCCAAACAGAACAUGAAGGAGGACGCCAGCACUCUACACUCUGAUGACUGGAGCGGGGUUCUGGAGGCUGAUGUGAAGCGGGUGCUAGGAAGGGCUGGGGUCACAGGCAUUCCUUAGAGGAAAGAAAGGGCGUGAGGCUAGAGUAGGCAUUGGAGACCUAGGGGUUAGUGAAUAAACUGUGGGGCACUUAGGUGGAAGUGCAGAUUUCUCCUUAUUCAUUUGUCAGCACUCUUUACGUAUGAAAAAUCCUGUUCUUUUGUGUAUAUUGGAAA